CUGUGUUUCCGCUCACAGUGAGAGAUGUUUGAAUGAUCACAGAACAGAAGAUAUUCAUCUGGAUCACACGAUGAAGAUCAUCCAGCUUCAGAUCUAUCUGUUCAUGUGGUCUCAAGGCACAGAGAGUCUAACAAACACAGCAGUAACUUUAGGAGCUGAUGUGAUUAUAAGCUGUGAUCUUGAUAUAAAGGAGAUUUACUGGUUCAGACAGAAAUCACCGGAUCCUCCAGAGUUGAUCUUACGCACUUUCAGUAGCAGAACUGGAGGAGCUGACUAUGAAAACAUAAUCUUCAAACUCAAAUACUCAGUGAAAACUAACAGUAGUCUGUUCAUCAGAAAUAUCACCGCUGAUGAAUUAGGAGUUUAUUAUUGUGUGAAAACUAGUGAACCACAAAAAUUCAGCAACGGCACCAAAAUCUACAUCAGCCAACAGGAGACACCAUGGAGAAACCUGACCAUCAUCACAUCUGUUCUGCUGAAUGUGCUUCUGAUCAUUGCAUUAAUAGGUUUGGUGAAGAGCAACACUGAUGCAACUGGAAGAUGUAAAAAUGACUCAAAUAAUCUACAGUGUGCUGAAAUAGAUUUUUCCAUGUGUGCCGGUAACACCAGGUCUUGUCCAGAGCAGAGCAAGAUUGUCUACCGCCAAUGUAUGAUGUAGAAUACAUUAUAAAUACAAACUGUGCCUUUAUAUCAUUUU